UGGGGCUUUGGCAGACGCCCCGCCUUCAAAGACGGUCACCCGUCCAAGCGCUGC
rfam:Betaproteobacteria bacterium RIFCSPLOWO2_02_FTLL_65_24 rifcsplowo2_02_scaffold_3998, whole genome shotgun sequence.